AGGGACGGAAGCAGUGGCUUCCGUCCCU
rnacentral:misc_RNA from 1 species